UACGGGGGUGGCAAGCGUUGUUCGGAAUUACUGGGCGUAAAGGGCUCGUAGGCGGCCAACUAAGUCAGACGUGAAAUCCCUCGGCUUAACCGGGGAACUGCGUCUGAUACUGGAUGGCUUGAGGUUGGGAGAGGGAUGCGGAAUUCCAGGUGUAGAGGUGAAAUGCGUAGAUAUCUGGAGGAACACCGGUGGCGAAGGCGGCAUCCUGGACCAAUUCUGACGCUGAGGAGCGAAAGCCAGGGGAGCAAACGGG
rnacentral:rRNA from 1 species